rnacentral:rRNA from 1 species
UACGUUAGGGGGGCGAGCGUUGUCCGGAAUCAUUGGGCGUAAAGAGCGUGUAGGCGGCUUGGAAAGUCUUACGUGAAAGCCUGCGGCUCAACCGCAGAAGUGCGUAGGAAACUCCUCGCUAGAGUCCGGAAGAGGAGAGCGGAAUUCCUGGUGUAGCGGUGGAAUGCGCAGAUAUCAGGAGGAACACCCGUGGCGAAGGCGGCGUCGUCUGGGACGGUACUGACGCUGAGACGCGAAAGCGUGGGAGC